AUAGUACUCCCUCCGUCCGGAAAAACUUGUCAUCAAAAUGAAUAAAAAGAGAUGUAUCUAGAACUAAAAUAUAUCUGGAUACAUCCUCUUUUAUCCAUUUUGAUGACAAGUAUUUCCGGACAGAGGGAGUACUUC
rfam:Triticum aestivum genome assembly, contig: Triticum_aestivum_CS42_TGACv1_scaffold_644613_T_7AS-0.098460_1AL-0.051222